AUGUCAGCCAGACGUCUUAUUUCUCCUCCUUCUCCUUCCUCCCGCCCUCCUUGUCUCUGGCAGUCGUCACCGGCCGGCCACCGGACCCCGCCGAACCUCCCGUGCCUCUGCUCCUUCCUCUUCCUCCUCCUUUGUUCCUUCCUCUCCCUCCUCUCAAUCUCUUUAUUCUCUCUCGCAACGGCACUCCAGCCAUGGCCGCGCUCGAGAUGCACCACCGAGACACGCCGCUUCCAUAAAAGCUCCUAUCGUCGGGAACAGAUCCGUUGGGUGCGCUGUCCCAGCAGGAGAAGGGCGGGCCGAGUGCCCGUGUCCCAACGAGAGAAGGCUGAGCCGGGUGUGCGUGUCCCAGUGGGAGCACCGCAACCAUGGCCGCACCUGAGAUGCACCACUGCGGCCCGCCGCUUCCGCCGGAGCUCCCGUCACCGGGAACGGAUCCGCCGGGUGCACGUGUCCUAG
rnacentral:rRNA from 1 species